rnacentral:rRNA from 1 species
UACAGAGGUCUCAAGCGUUGUUCGGAUUCAUUGGGCGUAAAGGGCGCGUAGGCUGCGGGGCAAGUCGGGUGUGAAAGCUCAGAGCUCAACUCUGAAACUGCACUCGAUACUGCUUUGCUUGAGGACUGGAGAGGAGAUUGGAAUUCACGGUGUAGCAGUGAAAUGCGUAGAUAUCGUGAGGAAGACCAGUGGCGAAGGCGGAUCUCUGGACAGUUCCUGACGCUGAGGCGCGAAGGCCAGGGGAGCAAACGGG